ensembl:lncRNA
CGCACGCCUGUAGCUCGGGUUCCGGUUCCUCCUGGGCUUGCUGCCUCCACCUGCAGCGGUCUCCUCCCGGUGAAUUCUGAAGCCUCUGCCGUCGAGGACACCCUGCCCCACGCCCUCUGCCGGGAUCCAGAACCUCAGCUGGGCCGGCUGUCCAGCCCGGCCUCGACCCUCCUGCCAUUUUCAGAUGCUGCUCCGAGACUCGUGUUUCCCAGCCUCCUCUGCCACCCAGACCUCCGGUGACAGGCCAGCCUUCUUCCGACAGAGAGGGUCGUCCCCGAGCCGAGCCGUGCUCCCUGCAUCCCCGGCUGGAGAUUCUCCACCUUCGCUGAGAACCAGUGACGCACACAUCCUACCAGGGCGGGGGACGCGGGCCUGGUCCCCGCAGCCAGCCUCGCGCCCGCAGGUUGUUCUCAGGCGACUGCUGUCGGUGGGCCGUUUUUUUGUUCAGUGCCUUUCUCCACUUCGUUGAAUCGAGGGAGGCGUUAUGAAGAGGCUUCGCUUGUCUAUUUGAGCUACUGCAGUCAGCUCAAGGACUCAGGUGUACAUGCACAGAGGAGAGGCCCUGCACCACACGCAGGCCCUGCCGGCUAUCCGUCCCAUACGAAGCGCUGUGUGUCUGCUGAUCAUGACCUCCCAGCUGGCUCUGUUUUGCGUAAAGGUGGAUGAUGGCCUUCGCUGAGUCAUGUGAAUGAUUCUUCCCAGAAGUUCGGCAGACUGAACCCCAGAGACAGCAGGUGUAGAUGAUAACGACAUCAAGCGACGUUUACCAGGCGCCAAAAUGUACUGGACACUCACAAAAUCAAGACGGCUUUGUAACGCCCGGCAGAAGUGUCCAUCUGAACCAGGAAGAGGAGGACGCUCUCAGAGAUGAGAGGCGAGUCUCAUGCUGUCCGGGCCAAAUGAAAAGACGGACGAGAGACGAGCCCCGACGGAACAGCCAGCUGCCUCGGAGGGCCCGGCCGCGGAAUUCGAAAGGACCACAGAGGUUUAGGCGCGGGCCUCACUCCCGGCUUGAAGUUCUCGGCAGCGGGAUGACGCACUAAAAGGGGGGGCAGAAGUCGCUCUUUCUCCUUCACGCGGGAAGACGUGGGAAGCACGUUUACAGCAGCUCCCGUGGUGAAGACCACCUCUGAGCAAGCACGGUAUUAACUGUGCCAAAGCUACGCCGUGCUUGAAAGCUAAAGUAUCUCAUUAUGAAGACAGCACCAAGGAAUGUGUGAUUAUAUUAUAAAUAAAUUACCAAAA